GGGCUUCGCAACGGCUGUGGGGCCCAGAGCAGCGUCGACGGCAGCCUGCGUUUCCGCACGGGCCAGCAGCCGUGGCCAGCUGCUCGUCCCUAGGGCUUUUCAGCUCCGGGGCAGCAUCUCUGCCGGGCGGACAGACCUGGAGGUGGAGAGCAAGAGAGAGAAGAGACGGAAUACAGAGGAGACAGCGGCUCAGCUGAGCGGACACCGCCUCCCGUCAGGAAGAAGGCUGCGAAUUCCCCGCCGCCGCCUCUGCCACCAACACCAGCGCCGCCACCGCUGCCGCCGACCUCACCGCCGCCACUGCCGCCGCCGCCUCCACCACCAGCGAGCCUGGGCCGGGCAGGGCGCCGAGCGGGCCGUCUGAGGCGCAGGCCGGAGCGGGCCCGGCACCGCAGCGCUGGUGGAGGCCGGGUCUCCGAGGCGACGGCCGAGGCAGGUACAACGGUACCGGAGGAGGCGGCGCCGCCGCUCGUCCCUUGUCCUCAGGAGGGGGCCCAUGGCGAGCGACAAGCCGGUCCGGCCCGGGGCUCGAGCCUCAGCCCGUGGAGCCCAUCGCCGUCCGGGCCGGCAGCGGAGGCGGUGGCGAAGGCGGCGGCGGCAGCGGGAUGGUGAGGCUGAUGGGGCGUCCGGCUCCGACUCCGGCUCCGGUUCCGCUCCCCGCGGGGACGAGUUACCUUUCAGUGCCGAUCAGCACCAUCCAGAUGAAAUUCGCAGUUUGGACUCCUGCAGGUCGGACAGGUCAGCAGCAGGGACAUCGUGGAGAUGGUGCUCAACCUGGCAAUUUCAUUGCCUCCUUUUGCAAAUUGUCCUUAUCACAUUGGCUUCACCCUGAACACUUGGCUUCGUGUGGAUCCAUUAAUAACAUUAAUGUUGAAAAGGAUAAAGCCUCAUUUUUAUUGUUGAAGACUCAGUGGUUCAGUCCUUCCUGCCCAUCAGUUGUGAGGUUUUGUAUGCAAAGAAGUUGGCUAUUUUGCUGGCUCAGUAGAUACAUCAGGAAACUCCAAAGGAAAAGAUUUUCAGCACUGUGUGAAAUAUGA
ensembl:lncRNA